CGUCAUUAAAUGUUUUGGUUUUCAGCACGACAGCUGAGAGAAGAGCAGACAGCUUGUUCAAAAAACUACAGGGUUUCUCUGAAAGAUUCAGUCGCCCGAUUGCUGAAUUGCAAAUUGCAUUUAACUGAGUAUAUUAGAAUGGGUCGAGUAUUUUUACAUCAUAUUGGUGGAACAAGGUUGUUCUCAUGUGCCAGCUGUGACACACCUCUAACCAACAGAGCUGAGUUGAUAUCCACCAGAUUCACAGGUGCAACUGGAAGAGCCUUUCUA